AGUUAUUUGUUGAGGAAACUAUAGAUUUUGAAAAUCUAAAUUAAAUGUUCAAUUCAUUUAGUAACUU
rnacentral:tRNA from 1 species